UACGUAGGGACCAAGCGUUGUUCGGAUUUACUGGGCGUAAAGGGCGCGUAGGCGGCGUGUUAAGUCACUUGUGAAAUCUCUAAGCUUAACUUAGAACGGUCAAGUGAUACUGACGUGCUAGAGUGCAGAAGGGGCAACCGGAAUUCUCGGUGUAGCGGUGAAAUGCGUAGAUAUCGAGAGGAACACCUGCGGCGAAGGCGGGUAGCUGGGCCGACACUGACGCUGAUGCGCGAAAGCCAGGGGAGCGAACGGG
rnacentral:rRNA from 1 species